UACGUAGGGUGCGAGCGUUAAUCGGAAUUACUGGGCGUAAAGCGUGCGCAGGCGGCUAUGCAAGACAGAUGUGAAAUCCCCGGGCUCAACCUGGGAACUGCAUUUGUGACUGCAUAGCUAGAGUACGGUAGAGGGGGAUGGAAUUCCGCGUGUAGCAGUGAAAUGCGUAGAUAUGCGGAGGGAACACCGAUGGCGAAGGCAAUCCCCUGGACCUGUACUGACGCUCAUGCACGAAAAGCGUGGGGAGCAAACAG
rnacentral:rRNA from 1 species